GAUAAUUAAUGUGAAUUGCAGAAUUCAGUGAAUCAUCGAGUCUUUGAACGCACAUUGCGCCCCCUGGUAUUCCGGGGGGCAUGCCUGUCCGAGCGUCAUUGCUGCCCUCAAGCACGGCUUGUGUGUUGGGCUUCCGUCCCUGGCAACGGGGACGGGCCCAAAAGGCAGUGGCGGCACCAUGUCUGGUCCUCGAGCGUAUGGGGCUUUGUCACCCGCUCCCGUAGGUCCAGCUGGCAGCUAGCCUCGCAACCAAUCUUUUUAACCAGGUUGACCUCGGAUCAGGUAGGGAUACCCGCUGAACUUAAGC
rnacentral:misc_RNA from 1 species